rnacentral:ncRNA from 1 species
AUAAGGGUGUUUUUUAAGAUACAUAUGUAAUAUACAGAGAUUCGUUCCACUGGCUGAAAGAACGAUUAUUAGGCCUCUUUGAAGGUAGUCUCGGAGCUUUGCUUUUGAAAGAGUGAAAAUUGUGCCCAGUAGAAAGCAACGAUUUGGUUCUCGUUAUCGAACUAAAGUCAUAGGACUUAUUGAGUUUAUUUACCGUGAGGAAAUAGAGAAACUGAGUGGUACCGCAAUAAUCACGCCUCAGGA